CAGCAUCCGCGGUAACACGGAGGGUGCGAGCGUUAAUCGGAAUUACUGGGCGUAAAGCGCACGUAGGCGGCUUUGUAAGUCAGAGGUGAAAGCCUGGAGCUCAACUCCAGAACUGCCUUUGAGACUGCAUCACUUGAAUCCAGGAGAGGUGAGUGGAAUUCCGAGUGUAGAGGUGAAAUUCGUAGAUAUUCGGAAGAACACCAGUGGCGAAGGCGGCUUACUGGCUCAUUCUAGACGCUGAGGUGCGAAAGCGUGGGGAGCAAACAGGAUUAGAUACCCCUGUAGUCCCUGUCUCUUAUAC
rnacentral:rRNA from 1 species